UGGGUCCCGAUGGGAUGCAUCUGCGUGUGCUAAGGGAGCUGGCAGAUGUGAUCGCCGAACCGCUCUCUAUCAUCUUUGAAAGGUCCUGGAGAAUGGGUGAGGUGCCUGAAGACUGGAGGAUAGCCAAAGUCACUCAGAAGUGACCUCGUAGGCCCUUUCUGUGACAUGUUGCUGCUGUUGCCCUAUCAACUGCAGAGGCAGAAGUGACCUCACAGUCCCUGCCACAGUCACAUUCCUCCUGCUGGGGCAGGAGAUCCUGAGGCAGAGUUGAGGUCAUCAGAGCAUUUCCUCUCAUCUCCUCCUUGUCGCCUACAAGCAGAUCAAAUCCAUGGCCCCUCACAUUCAUCUUUGAAUGCCGUGUGACUGCAUGGAGUGGGUUUACGUGGCAUGGUUUUGGUAGUGGGGGGCCAUAGAGGUGGCUUUGGUGAGAAGAAUCCAGAAGCUGCCCCACGUUAGAUAAGGGCCCCACUGCUGGCCAGAACUGGGCCAAUAAGCGACAUUCUUUGCACCUCUGUGAGAGCAUAUUUAAACAGAAGAAAAAAAAAAAAAGGCAAAAAAAAAAAAAAAAAGCUGCUGUAGAACAGCAGCUGGGAGAAAGAGAGGAGUGAGAAAUAGCCUUGCAGGUGCUAAGAUCAGUUAUGAAGGAGGGGGAGACGUGCUCCAUGUCCCGGAGCAGAAGUCCCCUGCGGCCUGUGAUGAGGACCAUGGUGAAGCAGGCUGUCCCCCUUCAACCUGUAGAGGAGACCAUGGUGGAGCAGGUGGACCUGCACUGACAGAGGUUGUAGUUUGUGGAGGACCCCUGCCAGAGCAGAUUCCAGGCCAGACCUGUAACCCGUGGAGAGGAGCCCACGCAGGACCAGAGCACUCUGAGGGAGAGUCAUUGCAUUAAAGAUUAAUGCAUGUUUAAAAGACUGAGAUUGAGAAAUACGCUCCAUGCCAUCAUGAAGGGAGAUAACAAAGAGUGUCAACAGUGUUGGCCCAAGUGCCCAUCACUGAGGGAUGCUGCUGGUAACUGGCUGAAAGGAGGACUUUGUACCACUGACACCUUGCCCCCAAAAACAUCAUCCCCUUUUUCAGUCCAAAUAUCACCAGUGUGGCUAAAGGGAACCCCAGGAAACCAUGGCAAAGGCCUUGCUAAAGUGCAGGUUCACCUCGUUCCCUUCUUUCCCCUCCCCUUCUGUUUCAGCAGUUCCUUUGGUUCCUCCAACUGCCUGAAGAAGGCUGUGGCAGGACUUUCCCUAUCACAUUCCCAGGGUUAGAGGUGACAAUUGCAGUUCUGCCAAUCCUUUUUCUUGCCCUUCCUGAAGAUGCGUUUGAUGCCCACAUUUUUCAAGUCCCCAGAAAUCUUGCUGAUCCAAAUGCCUGACAGCCCGGUCGAGAAAGGCGGGGUAGUGUGACAUAACAGAGAGGGGCAUCUGCAAUGAACCUAUGCAAAAGGGGUUCCAGGAAUCUCACAGGGACACUGGGGGUUGUUCCUGGAAUCACACAGGGCAAUGGCAGGGCUGUGUGAGGUGUCCACAUCUGAGCAGACCUCAUACACACAUGCCUUUAGAGAGAGCUCCUGCAGUCACUGCCAGAGGCUGGGAGACACCUCAGCUGUGGGGUGCCUCGCCCUGCUCUGCCCUCCUCUGAGAUACCCCAGGACAUGAGGAAUGGGCACAGAGACCUCGGUUCAAGGAGGAACGUCCCAGAGCUGCCUUCAGGUGGCUUCGCAGGGGACGUUACUUGGCCUUGUGACGCUAUCUGCCCAGCUGGCCUUCAUGAGACUUCUAGGAAUAGCGGAUGGCCUUUGUGCUCCUUCGUGUUCAUCUCUCCACACACAUAUGACGUGCCUGCCAGCACCAGCAUUGGGUUUCUCUUUCAAUGUCUCCCAUGCACAUACAGCAGGCCCUGCUCUUCUGGGAAAUCGUAUCCCUCAAGAAGCAAUGAGCAAUGGCCUGGCCAGCCAUUGCUGAACUUACUACCCACACCUCUGAGCUUGUGAUGGCACUCUCCAGAGUAUGAAAAAUUAUUAAAAAGAAAACCUUGUUCCUGCAAUGCAUUCUGAGUCAUAUGCAGAAGACAAUAGGCUUUUUUUUUUUUUUUUUUUAAA